AUACGGAGGGUGCAAGCGUUGUUCGGAAUUACUGGGCGUAAAGCGCGCGUAGGCGGUCUGUUAUGUCUGAUGUGAAAGUCCUCGGCUCAACCGGGGAAGUGCAUUUGAAACUGGCAGACUUGAGUACUGGAGGGGGUGGUGGAAUUCCCGGUGUAGAGGUGAAAUUCGUAGAUAUCGGGAGGAAUACCGGUGGCGAAGGCGACCACCUGGCCAGAUACUGACGCUGAGGUGCGAAAGCGUGGGGAGCAAACAGGAUUAGAUACCCCAGUAGUCC
rnacentral:rRNA from 1 species